UACGGAGGAUGCGAGCGUUAUCCGGAUUUAUUGGGUUUAAAGGGUGCGUAGGCGGCUUUUUAAGUCAGCGGUGAGAUUUUGCAGCUUAACUGUAACAGUGCCGUUGAUACUGGGGAGCUAGGAUUUGGUUGCUGUGGGUGGAAUGUGUGGUGUAGCGGUGAAAUGCUUAGAGAUCACACAGAAUAUCGAUUGCGAAGGCAGCUCACAAAGCCAAGAUUGACGCUGAGGCACGAAAGUGUGGGGAUCAAACA
rnacentral:rRNA from 1 species